rnacentral:rRNA from 1 species
GACGAACGCUGGCGGCGUGCCUAAUACAUGCAAGUCGAACGCAGUGGGGACGGGUGAGUAACCCGUGGGUACCCUUCCAUUAGAGGGGAUAACACUUGGAAACAGGUGCUAUACCGACACCGACCGAUGAACCCGUGGUGCAUUAGCUGGUUGGUGAGGUAACGGCUCACCAAGGCCACGAGGCAUAGCCGGCCUGAGGGGUUGAGCGGCCACACUGGUACUGGGACACGGCCCAGACGCCUACGGGAGGAAGCAGUAGGGAAUCUGCGGCAAUGGACGAAAGUCUGACCGAGCGACGCCGCGUGAGUGAAGAAGGUUUUCGGAUCGUAAAGCUCUGAUGUUAGAGAAGCGGUAUCUAACCAGGAAGCCACGGCUAACUACGUGCCAGCAGCCGCGGUAAUAC